rnacentral:rRNA from 1 species
UACGGGGGGAGCAAGCGUUGUUCGGAUUUACUGGGCGUAAAGGGCGCGUAGGCGGUCGUGACAGGUCACUUGUGAAAUCUCCGGGCUUAACUCGGAAAGGUCAAGUGAUACUGUCGGACUAGAGUACAGAAGGGGCAACUGGAAUUCUCGGUGUAGCGGUGAAAUGCGUAGAUAUCGAGAGGAACACCUGCGGCGAAGGCGGGUUGCUGGGCUGAUACUGACGCUGAGGCGCGAAAGCUAGGGGAGCGAACGGG